rnacentral:rRNA from 1 species
CCUACGGGAGGCAGCAGUGAGGAAUAUUGGUCAAUGGACGAGAGUCUGAACCAGCCAAGUAGCGUGAAGGAUGACUGCCCUAUGGGUUGUAAACUUCUUUUAUAUGGGAAUAAAACGUUCCACGUGUGGGAUUUUGUAUGUACCAUAUGAAUAAGGAACGGCUAACUCCGUGCCAGCAGCCGCGGUAAUACGGAGGAUCCGAGCGUUAUCCGGAUUUAUUGGGUUUAAAGGGAGCGUAGGUGGAUUGUUAAGUCAGUUGUGAAAGUUUGCGGCUCAACCGUAAAAUUGCAGUUGAAACUGGCAGUCUUGAGUACAGUAGAGGUGGGCGGAAUUCGUGGUGUAGCGGUGAAAUGCUUAGAUAUCACGAAGAACUCCGAUUGCGAAGGCAGUUCACUAGACUGCAACUGACACUGAGGCUCGAAAGUGUGGGUAUCAAACAGGAUUAGAUACCCUUGUAGUC